rnacentral:rRNA from 1 species
CUCAGGCGUCGAGCGGCGGACGGGUGAGUAAUACAUGGGAAUCUACCUAGUAGCGGGGGAUAGCCCGGGGAAACCCGGAUUAAUACCGCAUAAUCCUUACGAGGAAAAGAGGGCCUCUCCUUGGAAGCUCUUACUAUUAGAUGAGCCCAUGUCUGAUUAGCUAGAUGGUGGGGUAAUGGCCCACCAUGGCGACGAUCGGUAGCUGGUCUGAGAGGAUGAUCAGCCACACUGGGACUGAGACACGGUCCAGACUCC